CCUACGGGGGGCAGCAGUGAGGAAUAUUGGUCAAUGGCCGCAAGCCUGAACCAGCCAAGUCGCGUGAAGGACGACUGCCCUAUGGGUUGUAAACCUCUUUUAUAAGGGAAGAAUAAAUGCUACGUGUAGCAUUAUGCCUGUACCUUAUGAAUAAGCAUCGGCUAACUCCGUGCCAGCAGCCGCGGUAAUACGGAGGAUCCGAGCGUUAUCCGGAUUUAUUGGGUUUAAAGGGUGCGUAGAUGGGUUUUUAAGUUAGUUGUUAAAGCUUGGGGCUUAAACUUUAAUUUGCAAUUAAUACUGUAAGCCUCGAGUUCAGACGAGGUAGGCGGAAUAAGUGAAGUAGCGGUGAAAUGCUUAGAUAUAACGAAGAACUCCGAUAGCGAAGGCAGCUUACCAGACUGCGACUGACACUGAUGCACGAGAGCGUGGGUAUCGAACAGGAUUAGAUACCCGAGUAGUC
rnacentral:rRNA from 1 species